GCAUAACGCGAAGAACCUUACCUAGGCUUGACAUGCAUCUCUAAGCACGUGAAAGCGUGUGACCCUUCGGGGAAUUUGCACAGGUGCUGCAUGGCCGUCGUCAGCUCGUGUCGUGAGAUGUUGGGUUAAGUCCCGCAACGAGCGCAACCCUUGUGACUAGUUGCCAGCACGUUAUGGUGGGAACUCUAGUCAGACUGCCCAGAUCAACUGGGAGGAAGGUGGGGACGACGUCAGGUCAGUAUGGCCCUUACGCCUAGGGCUGCACACGUACUACAAUGCCCAGCACAAUGAGAACCGAGACCGCGAGGUGGAGGAAAUCUAAAAAACUGGGCCCAGUUCGGAUUGGAGGCUGCAACUCGACUACAUGAAGCUGGAAUCACUAGUAAUCGUAGAUCAGCCAUGCUACGGUGAAUACGUUCCCGGGUCUUGUACACACCG
rnacentral:rRNA from 1 species